rnacentral:rRNA from 1 species
UGGGAAUCUUCCGCAAUGGACGAAAGUCUGACGGAGCAACGCCGCGUGUAUGAUGAAGGUCUUCGGAUUGUAAAGUACUGUCAUUGGGGAAGAACGGUUUUCUUGAAAAGAUUGAGAAGACAUGACGGUACCCAAGGAGGAAGCCCCGGCUAACUACGUGCCAGCAGCCGCGGUAAUACGUAGGGGGCAAGCGUUGUCCGGAAUUAUUGGGCGUAAAGGGCGCGUAGGCGGGCCUUUAAGUCCGGUGUGAAAGAUCAGGGCUCAACCCUGAGAGUGCAUCGGAAACUGGAGGCCUUGAGGACAGGAGAGGAAAGUGGAAUUCCACGUGUAGCGGUGAAAUGCGUAGAUAUGUGGAGGAACACCAGUGGCGAAGGCGACUUUCUGGACUGUAACUGACGCUGAGGCGCGAAAGCGUGGGGAGCAAAACAGGAUUAGAUACCCUGGUAGUCCACGCCGUAAACGAUGAGUGCUAGGUGUAGAGGGUAUCGACCCCCUUCUGUGCCGCAGUUAACACAAUAAGCACUCCCGCCUGGGGAGUACGGCCNCAAGGUUGAAACUCAAAUGAAUUGACGGGGGUCAUAGCUGUUUUUCCC